GACGAACGCUGGCGGCGUGCUUAACACAUGCAAGUCGAACGGAAAGGCCCUGCUUGUGUGGGGUUCUAGAGUGGCGAACGGGUGAGUAACACGUGAGUAACCUGCCCUUGACUUGGGGAUAACUUCAGGAAACCGGGGCUAAUACCUGAUAGGAGCUGCUGCUGCAUGGGGGGGGUUGGACAGUUUCGGCGGUUGGGGAUGGACUGGGGGGUUAUCAGCUUGUUGGUGGAGUAGUGGCUUAGCAAGGCAUCGGUGGGUAGCCGGCCUGGGAGGGUGAACGGGCACAUGGGGCCUAAGAGAGGGACCAGACUCCAACGGGAGGCAGCAGUGGGGAAUAUUGCACAAUGGGCGGGAGUGUGAGGCAGCAACGCCGCGUUCGGGAUGACGGCCUUCGUGGUGUAAACCGCUUUCGGCUAUGACGAAGCGUGAUUGACGGUAAUGGGUAAAGAAGCACCGGCUAACUACGUG
rnacentral:rRNA from 1 species